GUGCAGAGUAGUACAGUGGUUAAACCAUGGUCUUUGGAGCCAGACUGCCUGGGGUCGGAUCCCAGCUCUCACA
rnacentral:tRNA from 1 species